GCCGGCAUAGCUCAGUUGGCAGAGCAACCGCCUUGUAAGCGGUAGGUCCCCAGUUCGAAUCCGGGUGCCGGCAUCA
rnacentral:tRNA from 2 species